GAUGAAGAACGCAGCGAAAUGCGAUACGUAAUGUGAAUUGCAGAAUUCAGUGAAUCAUCGAGUCUUUGAACGCACAUUGCGCCCCCUGGUAUUCCGGGGGGCAUGCCUGUCCGAGCGUCAUUGCUGCCCUCAAGCACGGCUUGUGUGUUGGGCCUCCGUCCUCCUCCCGGGGGACGGGCCCGAAAGGCAGCGGCGGCACCGCGUCCGGUCCUCGAGCGUAUGGGGCUUCGUCACACGCUCUUGUAGGCCCGGCCGGCGCUUGCCGACACAUCAAUCUUUUUUCCAGGUUGACCUCGGAUCAGGUAGGGAUACCCGCUGAACUUAAGCAUAUCAAUAAGCGGAGGA
rnacentral:misc_RNA from 1 species